rnacentral:rRNA from 1 species
AGUGAACGCUGGCGGUAGGCCUAACACAUGCAAGUCGAACGGCAGCACAGUAAGAGCUUGCUCUUACGGGUGGCGAGUGGCGGACGGGUGAGGAAUACGUCGGAAUCUACUUUUUCGUGGGGGAUAACGUAGGGAAACUUACGCUAAUACCGCAUACGACCUACGGGUGAAAGCAGGGGAUCUUCGGACCUUGCGCGAUUGAAUGAGCCGAUGUCGGAUUAGCUAGUUGGCGGGGUAAAGGCCCACCAAGGCGACGAUCCGUAGCUGGUCUGGGAGGAUGAUCAGCCACACUGGAACUGAGACACGGUCCAGACUCCUACGGGAGGCAGCAGUGGGGAAUAUUGGACAAUGGGCGCAAGCCUGAUCCAGCCAUACCGCGUGGGUGAAGAAGGCCUUCGGGUUGUAAAGCCCUUUUGUUGGGAAAGAAAAGCAGCAGGUUAAUACCCCGCUGUUCUGACGGUACCCAAAGAAUAAGCACCGGCUAACUUCGUG